GGUGAAGCUAUUGGAGGAUGAGAUUUGUCGCCUGAGGAAUGAACACAGUGAGCUGAUUACAAGGCUAACAGAGAAACGGGAAGGGUUUGUGAAGAUGUGUUUUGGAUUCCAGAGUGAUAUUGAAGACGGUGACUUAAGGAGUUUAGUGUCAGAGAAGGAGUUUCUAGAAAACGAAGUUCGGAUGUUGGAGGAGAAGAACUUGGAUGUGAAGAACUCGAUUUUGGCUUACAUGGAAGAUGAAAUGAGGAAUCUUUUGUCUGAUUAGUGUUUCUGGAAUGAUGAAAGUGUUAGCCAUAGUAAUUUUCUCUAUUUACUUAAUGAAAUAGUCUUUUACAAAAAAAAAAAGCAUGUAAGGUGAAGUCAUCAACAUUUCAAAACUUGAUUUCUCACCGCCCUAGGAUCUCAGACUGUGUUAUCUCAUUGACAGUGAUCAACCUCUUAGACGGUGACUCUUCA